rnacentral:rRNA from 1 species
CUACGGGUCGCAGCAGUGAGGAAUAUUGCACAAUGGGGGAAACCCUGAUGCAGCAACGCCGCGUGGAGGAUGACGCAUUUCGGUGUGUAAACUCCUUUUAUGAGUCAAGAAAAUGACGGUAGCUCAUGAAUAAGCACCGGCUAACUCCGUGCCAGCAGCCGCGGUAAUACGGAGGGUGCAAGCGUUACUCGGAAUCACUGGGCGUAAAGGACGCGUAGGCGGGAUGUCAAGUCAGGUGUGAAAUCCUAUGGCUCAACCAUAGAACUGCACUUGAAACUGGCAACCUAGAGUAUGGGAGGGGAAGAUGGAAUUAGUGGUGUAGGGGUAAAAUCCGUAGAUAUCACUAGGAAUACCGAAAGCGAAGGCGAUCUCCUGGAACAUUACUGACGCUAAGGCGUGAAAGCGUGGGGAGCAAACAGGAUUAGAUACCCGUGUAGUC